rnacentral:rRNA from 1 species
CCUACGGGUGGCAGCAGUAGGGAAUCUUCCACAAUGGACGAGAGUCUGAACCAGCCAAGUAGCGUGAAGGAUGACUGCCCUAUGGGUUGUAAACUUCUUUUAUAAAGGAAUAAAACGAGGCACGUGUGCCUUUUUGCAUGUACUUUAUGAAUAAGGAUCGGCUAACUCCGUGCCAGCAGCCGCGGUAAUACGGAGGAUCCGAGCGUUAUCCGGAUUUAUUGGGUUUAAAGGGAGCGUAGAUGGGUUGUUAAGUCAGUUGUGAAAGUUUGCGGCUCAACCGUAAAAUUGCAAUUGAUACUGGCAGUCGUGAGUACAGUUGAGGUAGGCGGAAUUCGUGGUGUAGCGGUGAAAUGCUUAGAUAUCACGAAGAACCCCGAUUGCGAAGGCAGCUUACUAAACUGUGACUGACAUUGAUGCUCGAAAGUGUGGGUAUCAAACAGGAUUAGAUACCCGGGUAGUC